GUCCCUCCAGCUGACCUUGUUUGAGAACCUUCUUCCUAGCCUCCUUGUCUGUCACCAGGGGUUUAGGUGGCCGCUUUACGUCCUCGGCGAAGGGGUUCGGGGAGUUUGCGCCAAAGAGACCCACGUAAACCCUGCGGAGACCCGCCAGCAGCAGCGCGGCCAGCAGCAGUAAGGUGUGCCACAUCUUGCAGCCUGAGCUUGGAAUAAGGCGACUUCUCUGUCUGAGGUCGGCUUUUAUGUCCGAAGCUUUGCUCCAGUAGUUUGUCAUUAGAGAAACAUCAAGCAAACCGUGUCCAACGAACUUUGACCAAUGCCAGCGCAAAGUUGAUCAAGAAGGUCCGUCCUCGCCCUUUGUCUGACGCAGUUUCAAUUGCCUGCAGGGAAACUUAGUUCCUGCUCAGGCCAGGAGACACUUAGCACCUGCGCAAUGAGGCUCCAUAGGCUAUGCGGUGACCCUUACUGGCCCCAGCAGUGCUCCAGUCGACCAUGUAAAGCAGGGCAUGCCUCUGUGAUGCUUGGUUUGUUUCCCACACAGUGAGAGGAAAGCCUUCCUGAGCCUGCCCAGCAAACCUACCUGUGCCCCUACCAGGUGGAAUGUGUCUCCACUGGGCACUCCUCAUUGUACAAGGUCAGUGGCGCACUCAUGUAAACACCUCUCAUCCUCAAGAACAGUCUGAAAAUGAGACAGUACAUAGCCAGGCAUGGUGGUGCUCACCUUUAAUGCGAGCAUUCAGGAGGUAGAGGCAGGCUGAUCUCUGUGAGUUCAAGGCCAGCCUGGUCUACAAAGUGAGUUCCAGGACAGAUAGGACUGUUCAACAGAGAAACCCUUCCCCCCACCACCAAAAAAAUAGUGCUCUUGGCUAAUUUCCAUUUACAGGAUGACUAAAUCAAUGCUGUUUAGCUGAUGGAUAAAUGGGAGGCAAAAUAAAGGAGUCAAUUAAAUAGUAAAAUAAAGGAAAAGAAAAAAUGUGAACUGCAUGAGUUAUCCUAGAGAUAUUUGCUUCACACACACACACACCUUCACAUUCACACAAAUGCACACUCACUCCUGUGGGUUCCUAUGUCGUGUCAGGAUCAUCUACUGGCUCCAAGAGGACAACGACAGUGCAUACAUGGCUUGUCCAUCUCUCUCCAGAUUUCGGGCACCAACUAGAUAAAGCUGGCUGAGACCUUGAACUUUGUGUUGCAUAACUGUUGCAACGGCUU